rnacentral:rRNA from 1 species
GGGCCCGCACAAGCGGUGGAGCAUGUGGUUUAAUUCGAUGAUACGCGAGGAACCUUACCAGGGCUUAAAUGUAGUGGGACAGGUCUAGAGAUAGACCCUUCUUCGGACUCAUUACAAGGUGCUGCAUGGUUGUCGUCAGCUCGUGCCGUGAGGUGUCAGGUUAAGUCCUAUAACGAGCGCAACCCCUAUCGUUAGUUGCCAGCGGGUAAUGCCGGGAACUCUAGCGAAACUGCCGGUGCAAACCGUGAGGAAGGUGGGGAUGACGUCAAAUCAUCACGGCCCUUACGUCCUGGGCUACACACGUGCUACAAUGGUCGGUACAGAGAGCAGCCACUACGCGAGUAGGAGCGAAUCUUCAAAACCGAUCUCAGUUCGGAUCGCAGUCUGCAACUCGACUGCGUGAAGCUGGAAUCGCUAGUAAUCGGAUAUC